UCAAUAAUAAUGUUUGUGUUAAUACAUGCUAGAGAAAUGAUAUGUAAAUCAUUCUCCUAAAGACAUGCCACACAAAAAAAGAAAAAAAGAUUGAUCAAGCACAAAGGCUAAGAGAAUGGUCAAUUACUUCAAUCGAUACUUCAUGAUACUUAGGAUAAACUUAUGCAUCAAUCCAAAGUACCUUAAAUGAUCCAUUAUCAAUUAAGAGGUAGAUUUGAAAUGAUACAAGUUCAUCAAGCACCAAUCCACACAUCAUGAACAAGAUGGACACAACCCAUCCAAUUGAUCAACAGGAAAAGAAAGAGAUAAAGAAGAAGAGGACAAAAUAGAUCAAA
rnacentral:lncRNA from 1 species